rnacentral:rRNA from 1 species
GGGUUGUGAGGUUAAGCGACUAAGCGUACACGGUGGAUGCCCUGGCAGUCAGAGGCGAUGAAGGGCGUGCUAAUCUGCGAUAAGCGCCGGUAAGGUGAUAUGAACCGUUAUAACCGGCGAUACCCGAAUGGGGAAACCCAGUGUGACUCGUCACACUAUCAUUAACUGAAUCCAUAGGUUAAUGAGGCGAACCGGGGGAACUGAAACAUCUAAGUACCCCGAGGAAAAGAAAUCAACCGAGAUUCCCCCAGUAGCGGCGAGCGAACGGGGAGGAGCCCAGAGCCUGAAUCAGCAUGUGUGUUAGUGGAAGCGUCUGGAAAGGCGCGCGAUACAGGGUGACAGCCCCGUACACAAAAGCGCAUGUGCUGUGAGCUCGAUGAGUAGGGCGGGACACGUGGUAUCCUGUCUGAAUAUGGGGGGACCAUCCUCCAAGGCUAAAUACUCCUGACUGACCGAUAGUGAACCAGUACCGUGAGGGAAAGGCGAAAAGAACCCCGGCGAGGGGAGUGAAAAAGAACCUGAAACCGUGUACGUACAAGCAGUGGGAGCCCCACCACCAAAGCAUUCUCUGGUGUUGAAGGCCCUGCAAAGCAGCAUCGCGGUGGCGGAGCGUCGUUUGCGACGCCCAACACACAAAACAAGCGGUGAAUGCUUUGGGGUGGGGUGACUGCGUACCUUUUGUAUAAUGGGUCAGCGACUUAUAUUCUGUAGCAAGGUUAACCGAAUAGGGGAGCCGGAGGGAAACCGAGUCUUAAUUGGGCGUUAAGUUGCAGGGUAUAGACCCGAAACCCGGUGAUCUAGCCAUGGGCAGGUUGAAGGUUGGGUAACACUAACUGGAGGACCGAACCGACUAAUGUUGAAAAAUUAGCGGAUGACCUGUGGCUGGGGGUGAAAGGCCAAUCAAACCGGGAGAUAGCUGGUUCUCCCCGAAAGCUAUUUAGGUAGCGCCUCGUGAAUUCAUCUCCGGGGGUAGAGCACUGUUUCGGCUAGGGGGCCAUCCCGGCUUACCAACCCGAUGCAAACUGCGAAUACCGGAGAAUGUUAUCACGGGGAGACACACGGCGGGUGCUAACGUCCGUCGUGAAGAGGGAAACAACCCAGACCGCCAGCUAAGGUCCCAAAGUCAUGGUUAAGUGGGAAACGAUGUGGGAAGGCCCAGACAGCCAGGAUGUUGGCUUAGAAGCAGCCAUCAUUUAAAGAAAGCGUAAUAGCUCACUGGUCGAGUCGGCCUGCGCGGAAGAUGUAACGGGGCUAAACCAUGCACCGAAGCUGCGGCAGCGACGCUGAUGCGUUGUUGGGUAGGGGAGCGUUCUGUAAGCCUGCGAAGGUGACCUGUGAGGGUUGCUGGAGGUAUCAGAAGUGCGAAUGCUGACAUAAGUAACGAUAAAGCGGGUGAAAAGCCCGCUCGCCGGAAGACCAAGGGUUCCUGUCCAACGUUAAUCGGGGCAGGGUGAGUCGACCCCUAAGGCGAGGCCGAAAGGCGUAGUCGAUGGGAAACGGGUUAAUAUUCCCGUACUUGGUGUUACUGCGAAGGGGGGACGGAGAAGGCUAUGUUGGCCGGGCGACGGUUGUCCCGGUUUAAGCGUGUAGGUGUGUGUUCCAGGUAAAUCCGGUUCACUUUAACACUGAGGCGUGAUGACGAGGCACUACGGUGCUGAAGCAACAAAUGCCCUGCUUCCAGGAAAAGCCUCUAAGCAUCAGGUAACAUCAAAUCGUACCCCAAACCGACACAGGUGGUCAGGUAGAGAAUACCAAGGCGCUUGAGAGAACUCGGGUGAAGGAACUAGGCAAAAUGGUGCCGUAACUUCGGGAGAAGGCACGCUGACACGUAGGUGAAGUGAUUUACUCACGGAGCUGAAGUCAGUCGAAGAUACCAGCUGGCUGCAACUGUUUAUUAAAAACACAGCACUGUGCAAACACGAAAGUGGACGUAUACGGUGUGACGCCUGCCCGGUGCCGGAAGGUUAAUUGAUGGGGUCAGCGCAAGCGAAGCUCCUGAUCGAAGCCCCGGUAAACGGCGGCCGUAACUAUAACGGUCCUAAGGUAGCGAAAUUCCUUGUCGGGUAAGUUCCGACCUGCACGAAUGGCGUAAUGAUGGCGGGCUGUCUCCACCCGAGACUCAGUGAAAUUGAACUCGCUGUGAAGAUGCAGUGUACCCGCGGCAAGACGGAAAGACCCCGUGAACCUUUACUAUAGCUUGACACUGAACAUUGAGCCUUGAUGUGUAGGAUAGGUGGGAGGCUUUGAAGUGUGGACGCCAGUCUGCAUGGAGCCGACCUUGAAAUACCACCCUUUAAUGUUUGAUGUUCUAACGUGGACCCGUAAUCCGGGUUGCGGACAGUGUCUGGUGGGUAGUUUGACUGGGGCGGUCUCCUCCUAAAGAGUAACGGAGGAGCACGAAGGUUGGCUAAUCGGUCGGACAUCAGGAGGUUAGUGCAAUGGCAUAAGCCAGCUUGACUGCGAGCGUGACGGCGCGAGCAGGUGCGAAAGCAGGUCAUAGUGAUCCGGUGGUUCUGAAUGGAAGGGCCAUCGCUCAACGGAUAAAAGGUACUCCGGGGAUAACAGGCUGAUACCGCCCAAGAGUUCAUAUCGACGGCGGUGUUUGGCACCUCGAUGUCGGCUCAUCACAUCCUGGGGCUGAAGUAGGUCCCAAGGGUAUGGCUGUUCGCCAUUUAAAGUGGUACGCGAGCUGGGUUUAGAACGUCGUGAGACAGUUCGGUCCCUAUCUGCCGUGGGCGCUGGAGAACUGAGGGGGGCUGCUCCUAGUACGAGAGGACCGGAGUGGACGCAUCACUGGUGUUCGGGUUGUCAUGCCAAUGGCACUGCCCGGUAGCUAAAUGCGGAAGAGAUAAGUGCUGAAAGCAUCUAAGCACGAAACUUGCCCCGAGAUGAGUUCUCCCUGAGACUUUAGGUCUCCUGAAGGAACGUUGAAGACGACGACGUUGAUAGGCCGGGUGUGUAAGCGCAGCGAUGCGUUGAGCUAACCGGUACUAAUGAACCGUGAGGCUUAACCUUACAACGCCGAAG